AGCUCCAAUAGCGUAUAUUAAAGUUGCUGCAGUUAAAAAGCUCGUAGUUGGAUUUCUGGCUUGAAACAUUUUGCCGGCCACGGUUUCGUGUGUUAGUGCUUGAUGUUCUGGCCAUCCUUCCAAUUGCUAUUGGCUAUUCUUCAUUGAGUGGUCAGUGGUGUUGGAUCUUUUACUUUGAAAAAAUUAGAGUGUUUCAGGCAGGCUUUAUGCUAUGAAUACAUUAGCAUGGAAUAAUAAUUUAGGACUUCGGUUCUAUUUUGUUGGUUUCUAGGGCUGAAGUAAUGAUUGAUAGGGAUAGUUGGGGGUGCUAGUAUUCAGCGGCCAGAGGUGAAAUUCUCGGAUUCGCUGAAGACUAACUUAUGCGAAAGCAUUCACCAAGGAUGUCUUCU
rnacentral:rRNA from 1 species